UACGGAGGGUGCGAGCGUUGUUCGGAAUCACUGGGCGUAAAGCGCGUGUAGGCGGUCCGCUAAGUCUGAUGGGAAAGCCCGGGGCUCACCCCCGGAAGGGCAUUGGAUACUGGUGGACUCGAGUCCCGGAGAGGAGGGUGGAAUUCCUGGUGUAGCGGUGAAAUGCGUAGAUAUCGAGAGGAACACCUGCGGCGAAGGCGGG
rnacentral:rRNA from 1 species